rnacentral:rRNA from 1 species
GACGAACGCUGGCGGCGUGCUUAACACAUGCAAGUCGAGCGGUAAGGCCCUUUCGGGGGUACACGAGCGGCGAACGGGUGAGUAACACGUGGGUGACCUGCCCUCAGCUCUGGGAUAAGCCUGGGAAACCGGGUCUAAUACCGGAUAUGACUCCAUGACGCAUGUUGUGGGGUGGAAAGCCUUGUGCGGCUGAGGAUGGGCCCGCGGCCUAUCAGCUUGUUGGUGGGGUGAUGGCCUACCAAGGCGACGACGGGUAGCCGGCCUGAGAGGGCGACCGGCCACACUGGGGACUGAGACACGGCCCAGACUCCUACGGGAGGCAGCAGUGGGGAAUCUUGCGCAAUGGGCGAAAGCCUGACACAGCGACGCCGCGUGAGGGAUGACGGCCU